rnacentral:rRNA from 1 species
UACGAAGGGGGCUAGCGUUGCUCGGAAUCACUGGGCGUAAAGCGCACGUAGGCGGAUUGUCAAGUCAGGGGUGAAAUCCUGGGAGCUCAACUCCAGAACUGCCUUUGAUACUGGCGAUCUCGAGUCCGGGAGAGGUGAGUGGAACUGCGAGUGUAGAGGUGAAAUUCGUAGAUAUUCGCAAGAACACCAGUGGCGAAGGCGGACUCACUGGCCCGGGUACUGACGC